rnacentral:rRNA from 1 species
UACGUAGGGGGCGAGCGUUAUCCGGAAUUACUGGGCGUAAAGCGCACGCAGGCGGUUCGCCAAGUUUGGAGUGACAGUUGUCGGCUCAACCGACAAAGGACUUCAAAAACUGGUGAACUUGAGGACGAGAGAGGAACAUGGAACUCCAGGUGUAGUAGUGAAAUGCGUAGAUAUCUGGAAGAACACCAAUGGCGAAGGCAAUGUUCUGGCUCGUUUCUGACGCUCAGGUGCGAAAGCCAGGGGAGCGAACGG